rnacentral:lncRNA from 1 species
GGACUACAAGGAAGCAGAGGACCUCCAGGACCACAAGGCAUGCCAGGCCCUCUGGCUAGUCUGGGGGCUCCGGGUUCACCUGGCUCUGUUGGAAAGUUAGGUGCAAGAGGAGCAAAGGGUGAACCUGGUGACCCGGGAGAGAAGGGCCCAGUGGGACCAGCUGGAUGGAGAGGCAAGCCUGUGAGUCUUUCUGCCCUAAUUCAGGGCCCCUGUAGUUUAACUCCCAUCCAACUGAAUCAGUACAGUUCAUUCCCUUCU